rfam:Rattus norvegicus chromosome 3, whole genome shotgun sequence.
GGGGAUUUAGCUCAGUGGUAGAGCGCUUGCCUAGCAAGUGCAAGGCCCUGGGUUCAAUCCCCA